CGGACGGACGGACGGACUCGACUCGGACUUCCCCUGGCAACAGAAGUGCAGUGUGCAAUGCAAAUUCAUUUGGCUUAUUAAUUUAUGCUUGGCCGAGAACAAUACGUAUACGCAGCGUGGGGCGAGGUUUUUCGAUGAAGCAUGCGAGCAGAGGGCUGGGAAAGGGAAUGGUCUUAGACACUUGUGCAUUCUUCGAGCGAUUUGGCUGCUUUGCGGUACACACUCGUACGAGCCUCGGGGCUGCGAGAGAGCACAGAUUUGGGAAAUUCAACAAAAUUAUCCAAUUGCGCUCGGCUGAUAUAAUUAUGUCGUUAAUUUUCUUGAGGUUGGCAAGGAUUUAUGACGACCUGCCCGGAGCCAUUCCCUUCUGCUCGCACUCGUACUGUUAUCUCCCCAGCCUGAUUUACGGCUAUCGUGGCACAAGCCCAACGUUUAAUAUCGAACCACAAUUCAAUAAAUGUAUUAUUUUUAAUUGUUUACAUGCAAA